rnacentral:rRNA from 1 species
CCUACGGGUGGCAGCAGUAGGGAAUAUUGCGCAAUGGGGGAAACCCUGAAGCAGCAACGCCUCGUGGAGGAAGAAGGUUUUCGGAUUGUAAACUCCUUUUGUUAGAGAAGAUAAUGACGGUAUCUAACGAAUAAGCACCGGCUAACUCCGUGCCAGCAGCCGCGGUAAUACGGGGGGGGCAAGCGUUACUCGGAUGUACUGGGCGUAAAGAGCGCGUAGACGGGAUAGCAAGUCAGAUGUGAAAUCCUAUGGCUCAACCAUAGAACUGCAUUUGAAACUGUUAUUCUAGAGUAUGGGAGAGGUAAGUGGAAUUCUUGGUGUAGCGGUAAAAUCCGUAGAGAUCAAGAGGAAUACUCGUUGCGAAGGCGACCUGCUAGAACGUAACUGACGCUGAUGCGCGAAAGCGUGGGGAGCAAACAGGAUUAGAUACCCGAGUAGUC